GUUGCUUCUUACUGGUGAACUCUCCCUUGUUUCUAAGUGGGGGAUGUUCAUGUUUCCGAAGCAUAGAUUAAUAUCUUUGCCAGUAUUAAACAGCGCUGUGUAUUCUUUUUGUUGUUUUACUGUGCUACCUGUCUCCUGGUACAUUU